rnacentral:rRNA from 1 species
GAUGAACGCUGGCGGCGUGCCUAAUACAUGCAAGUAGAACGCUGAAGGAAGGAGCUUGCUCUUUCCGGAUGAGUUGCGAACGGGUGAGUAACGCGUAGGUAACCUGCCUGGUAGCGGGGGAUAACUAUUGGAAACGAUAGCUAAUACCGCAUAACAGUAGAUGUUGCAUGAUAUCUACUUAAAAGGUGCAAUUGCACCACUACCAGAUGGACCUGCGUUGUAUUAGCUAGUUGGUGAGGUAACGGCUCACCAAGGCGACGAUACAUAGCCGACCUGAGAGGGUGAUCGGCCACACUGGGACUGAGACACGGCCCAGACUCCUACGGGAGGCAGCAGUAGGGAAUCUUCGGCAAUGGACGGAAGUCUGACCGAGCAACGCCGCGGGAGUGAAGAAGGGUUUCGGAUCGUAAAGCUCUGUUGUAAGAGAAGGACGAGUGUGAGAGUGGAAAGUUCACACUGUGACGGUAUCUUACCAGAAAGGGACGGCUAACUACGUG